rnacentral:rRNA from 1 species
GACGAACGCUGGCGGCGUGCCUAAUACAUGCAAGUAGGACGCAGUUGCGAACGUGUGAGUAACGCGUAGGUAACUACCUAUUAGAGGGGGAUAACUAUUGGAAACGAUAGCGAAUACCCCAUACUAGUAGAUGGACCUGCGUUGUAUUAGCUAGUAGGUAGGGUAAUGGCCUACCCAGGCAACGAUACAUAGCCGACCUGAGAGGGCAAUCCGUCAGACUGGGACUCUGACAAGGCCCAGAACCCUACGGGAGGCAGCGGUAGGGAAUUUUCGGGAAUGGGGGGAACCCUGAACGAGGAACGCCCGGUGAGUGCAGAAGGUUUUCGGAUCGCAAAGGUCUGUUGAUAAGGAGGCGGUACUUAACCAGAAAGGGCCGGCUAACUACGUGCCAGCCGCCGCUGUAUUAC